AAAUCCAAAAAAAUCUGAUUGUCCUUUGCAUUUUCAGUUUUAGAUCAGUUUCAGCCUUUUAGAUAUAAAAAUACAAAAAUACACACAAAAGAAAAAAUAGAAAAAUCCAAAAGUCACUGUUUCAUUAGAUUUGCGAGCUAAUUUGCCCAUUUCCUGGUUUUCUCUUUAGCUGCUGAAGUUUCUGAGUUAGUUAUAGUUGAUUCCAAGCAAUUUCUGGUUUGUUCAGACUGGUGUUUGGUUGUUUUUGUUGCUGCUGCGUCUUAAACUCUGUCCGGGUCUUGGUUUGAGUGUAUUUCCUGGUUUAAGCUCAAGUUUGCUGACUGAUUUAUUUUUCACUGACUGCUGCUACACUCACUGCUGCCGAUCCUCAAUUCCUCUUUUGUUAACUUGCAUUCCGAGGUACACAAACUGUAUCCAUGAAAACUGUGAUCUGGAUGUAUGCAGAAAUGAAUAUAUGUGAAUUGGAAGCAUGAUUUUGCCUUAGUCAUUGUCUUCUUUGUUCUGUUCUCGUUCAAGCUAGAUUGUGAAAUUAGUUUUCAUAUUAUCUGUUAGUUGACAUAGUUU
rnacentral:lncRNA from 1 species